AAACUUGAGAGUUUGAUCAUGGCUCAGAAUGAACGCUGGCGGCAUGCCUAACACAUGCAAGUCGAACGAAGCCUUCGGGUUUAGUGGCGCACGGGUGCGUAACGCGUGGGAAUCUGCCCCUUGGUUCGGAAUAACAGUUGGAAACGACUGCUAAUACCGGAUGAUGACGUAAGUCCAAAGAUUUAUCGCCGAGGGAUGAGCCCGCGUAGGAUUAGGUAGUUGGUGUGGUAAAGGCGCACCAAGCCGACGAUCCUCAGCUGGUCUGAGAGGAUGAUCAGCCACACUGGGACUGAGACACGGCCCAGACUCCUACGGGAGGCAGCAGUGGGGAAUAUUGGACAAUGGGCGAAAGCCUGAUCCAGCAAUGCCGCGUGAGUGAUGAAGGCUUAGGGUUGUAAAGCUCUUUUACCCGGGAUGAUAAUGACAGUACCGGGAGAAUAAGCUCCGGCUAA
rnacentral:ncRNA from 1 species